rnacentral:rRNA from 1 species
AUUGAACGCUGGCGGCAGGCCUAACACAUGCAAGUCGAACGAGUGGCGGACGGGUGAGUAAUGUCUGGGAAACUGCCUGAUGGAGGGGGAUAACUACUGGAAACGGUAGCUAAUACCGCAUACCCUCGGAUGUGCCCAGGUGGGAUUAGCUGGUAGGUGGGGUAAAGGCUCACUUAGGCGACGAUCCCUAGCUGGUCUGAGAGGAUGACCAGCCAAACUGGAAUGGAGACACGGCCCAGACUCUACCGGAGGGCAGCAUUGGGGAAUAUUGGAAAAUGGGCGCAAGCCUGAGGCAGCCAGGCCGCGUGUAUGAAGAAGGCCUUCGGGUGGUAAAGUACUUUAAGCGGGGAGGCGUUACCCGCAGAAGAAGCAACGGCUAACUCCGUGCCAGCAGCCGCGGUAAUUC